rnacentral:rRNA from 1 species
GAUGAACGCUGGCGGCGUGCCUAAUACAUGCAAGUAGAACGCUGAAGGAGGAGCUUGCUCUUCUGGAUGAGUUGCGAACGGGUGAGUAACGCGUAGGUAACCUGCCUGGUAGCGGGGGAUAACUAUUGGAAACGAUAGCUAAUACCGCAUGACAACAGUUAUUGCAUGAUAACUGUUUAAAAGGGGCAACUGCUCCACUACCAGAUGGACAUGCGUUGUAUUAGCUAGUUGGUGAGGUAACGGCUCACCAAGGCGACGAUACAUAGCCGACCUGAGAGGGGGAGCGGCCACACUUGGACUGAGACACGGCCCAGACUCCUACGGGAGGCAGCAGUAGGGAAAUUUCGGCAAUGGACGGAAGUCUGACCGAGCAACGCCGCGUGAGUGAAGAAGGGUUUCGGAUCGUAAAGCUCUGUUGUAAGAGAAGAACGAGUGUGAGAGUGGAAAGUUCACACUGUGACGGUAUCUUACCAGAAAGGGACGGCUAACUACGUG